UAUCUCAAUGCAGAUUUUUACUUUCCUGGA
rnacentral:piRNA from 1 species